CCUGUUAUGAGCUAACUGAGCUCACCACCUUGCUCACCAUAACUUCAUAAUUGCAAGUGUUUGGUUCAAUACGACCCCCUUCAAGGGACAUCCUCUGUCCCUGGAUGCUGCCACAGAGAGGGCCUAGCAGCCAAGGAACCCAAAGACCACUGUUUUGUCCCCCUUAAACACCUUCAUGGACUUGGGGCUAGACUCUGGUUGAGCGGUCGGCUGUGCCUCCUGGGACCAGCAGAGGGCGCUCUGACAUCGAAUGCCAUCGAAUGGCGGAGCCUCUGGAGACCACAUCCCAGGAGGGGGACUGCGGAGCUCUGAAUUCAGCGUGGUGCCUGAAGGAAUAAAAAUCAAAUCGAUAACCUUAGAGAUGUAUACUAUUCAAGACCUGAACCAGCAAGUUCUGCCUCAAGAAGGUGGGGUCCUCAAAGCAGUUGCAGACAAAAGCACCACAACCCCAGAGACCUUUUAUAUAUCAACUUCACAGUUCAGAAAGGCUCAUACCAAGAAAGAUCACAUUUUGGGGGGCUGUCUCUAAAGGAGAUUCUUGUCCUUUUCGUGAUAGAGUCAAAGACCCAAAGCAUCUCUCAUUGCAACUGAAGAAAAAAACACCAAAGAACUGAACUCGCCGAACAGGGAGGAUGCCUUCGCCUUCCUUAAGGAACAGCUUGGUUCCUGUUUCACUUUGGAGUCAGCUGUGCAACCCAGAUACUUCAUCUAUACCUCCAACACACACACAGACAACCUGUAGGAGUGAGGAAAGAUAUAGGGAAAGAAAAACACUCAAUUCAAACUUGAAAAGACCGAUGUGACUCUCAAUACAGGCAGGAGGAGACUGAAUAUGCAAACGGAAAUGACCAGCCCAUCUGUGACAAUAGGACUCUAACCCUCCGCUUCUACAGCCAUUGGCCCAGAGUCAGACAGGUUCAGUCACUGUCAGCUUUUUUAUUUUUGUCCUCACUUCCAACUCAGGACCAACCAGAGAAAGCCAACUAUGCUCUUCAGACCAAGCCCCUAGGAUGCCCCCACCCCAGCUUCCCACACCAACAACUCCUGUCAAUAGGCACCUUUUUCACCAUAAAGCUUACCCACUCCUCUGUCUGCCUUUGAAUCACUGCCAAAUGCAAGUGAUGGAGGCUUGACUCCCUCGCUACAGCAAACUCUGACUCAAGAGCUGCUGUGUGUUCUUCUUUGAGCGGUCUUGGUGAUGAGACCCUCUCUAAAGUCCUGAUAUACACGGGAGGCCAUUUUAGAUUUCCUGCUAAGUCAGCAUGACUGUACAUAAACUUUGUUUCAACCAAAAGCCUGAUUUAUGGCCCACCAAACAUACAUUGUACACUUGCCUGUAAAUGUGUAGCCCAAGAAAAACCACCUUGUCCUUAAGAUCUCCAUCUCCCUGCAUUCCUUGACAUUGAAACUUGUGAUUCCUGCCUGUAUGUUAAUCUGUUAUCUUUUGAGCUUUUGCAAGCUGUAAAAAAAUAUAUAACCCUGUAAAAACUUAA